rnacentral:rRNA from 1 species
CAGUAGCCGCGGUAAUACGAAGGGUGCAAGCGUUAAUCGGAAUUACCGGGCGUAAAGCGUGCGUAGGCGGUUUGUUAAGUCUGUUGUGAAAUCCCCGGGCUCAACCUGGGAAUGGCAAUGGAUACUGGCAAGCUAGAGUGUGUCAGAGGAUGGUGGAAUUCCCGGUGUAGCGGUGAAAUGCGUAGAGAUCGGGAGGAACAUCAGUGGCGAAGGCGGCCAUCUGGGACAACACUGACGCUGAGGCACGAAAGCGUGGGGAGCAAACAGGAUUAGAUACCCCCGUAGUCCCUGUCUCUUAUAC